CAAUAGCGUAUAUUAAAGUUGUUGCAGUUAAAAAGCUCGUAGUUGGAUUUCGGGACGGGCCAGUUGGUCCGCCGCAAGGUGUGUUACUGACUGGUCUGUUCUUCUUCGCAAAGACUGCGUGCGCUCUUCGUUGAGUGUGCGUAGGAUUUACGACGUUUACUUUGAAAAAAUUAGAGUGUUCAAAGCAGGCUAUCGCUUGAAUACAUGAGCAUGGAAUAAUGGAAUAGGACUUUGGUCCUAUUUUGUUGGUUUCUAGGACCGAAGUAAUGAUUAAGAGGGACAAUUGGGGGCAUCCGUAUUUCGUUGUCAGAGGUGAAAUUCUUGGAUUUACGAAAGACGAACAACUGCGAAAGCACUUGCCAAGAGUGUUUUCAUUAA
rnacentral:rRNA from 1 species